CCAGGUCUUUUAUUUACUAGUUGUGAACCUAGAUUAGACAGCUUUUGGAGCUAUUUUAACCAUAUCCCAGCCAUAUGUCCCUUGUUACUUACUGUUUGUCCUGCCCAUGUGCUCGUGGUCCGUUUCCUCUCAGGGCUGUUCCUCCUCCUUUGGUCUCUUCUCCUUGCCCUUUUCUCUCUACCUGCAACUUCCACCCAGCCAUGUAACUAAAAACCUGCCAACAAUGUUACCUAGCAUUGUUUGGUGUAUGAGACUGUCUCCUGGGCAGUGGUGACCCGAUCUUUGUGGCCAGUAUUUAGCAUUUGAAUGCCAGCAGCGUCUCCUACACUUUAUUACUUUAGACUACUGCUCUAUCCAGCUACCUCCCCAGCCCAAGAUGAUGGCUCUUGAUGAAAUUUACUCCACAAGGGUGAGCUUGUGUUAAUCUUUGAGGAUUAUGGAUCUCAGGUCUCUGAUCCAGUGAAGGCACCCAUGUAUUAAGAUAAACAUGUGGGGCUGGGGAUUUAGCUCAGUGGUAGAGCGCUUACCUAGGAAGCGCAAGGCCCUGGGUUCGGUCCCCAGCCCCGAAAAAAAAGAACCAAAA
rnacentral:lncRNA from 1 species